rnacentral:rRNA from 1 species
GAACGAACGCCGGCGGCGAGGCCUAACACAUGCAAGUCGAGCGCGCCCUUCGGGGUGAGCGGCGGACGGGUUAGUAACGCGUGGAACGUACCCUUUGGUAGGGAAUAGCCACUGGAAACGGUGAGUAAUACCCUAUGAGCCCUUCGGGGGAAAGAUUUAUCGCCAAAGGAUCGGCCCGCGUUAGAUUAGGUAGUUGGUGGGGUAAUGGCCUACCAAGCCUACGAUCUAUAGCUGGUUUUAGAGGAUGAUCAGCAACACUGGGACUGAGACACGGCCCAGACUCCUACGGGAGGCAGCAGUGGGGAAUCUUGGACAAUGGGGGCAACCCUGAAUCCAGCCAUGCCGCGUGAGUGAAGGAGGCCUUAGGGUCGUAAAGCUCUUUCGCCUGUGAAGAUAAUGACGGUAGCAGGUAAAGAAACCCCGGCUAACUCCGUGCCAGCAGCCGC